GGAAUAAUUGUUGGAAACGGCAACUAAUACCGUAUACGCCCUACGGGGGAAAAAUUUAUUGCUAUUAGAUGAGCCUAUAUUAGAUUAGCUAGUUGGUGGAGUAAUAGCCUACCAAGGCAAUGAUCUAUAGCUGAUCUGAGAGGAUGAUCAGCCAUACUGGAACUGAAAUACGGUCCAGGCUCCUACGGGAGGCAGCAGUGGGGAAUAUCGGACAAUGGGCGAAAGCCUGAUCCAGCCAUGCCGCAUGAGUGAAGAAGGCCUUUGGGUUGUAAAGCCCUUUUAGUGAGGAAGAUAAUGACGGUACUCACAGAAGAAGUCCUGGCUAACUCCGUGCCAGCAGCCGCGGUAAUACGGAGAGGGCUAGCGUUAUUCGGAAUUAUUGGGCGUAAAGGGCGCGUAGGCUGGUUAGUAAGUUAAAAGUGAAAUCCCGAGGCUUAACCUUGGAAUUGCUUUUAAAACUGCUAACCUAGAGAUUGAAAGAGGAUAGAGGAAUUCCUAGUGUAGAGGUGAAAUUCGUAAAUAUUAGGAGGAACACCAGUGGCGAAGGCGUCUAUCUGGUUCAAAUCUGACGCUGAGGCGCGAAGGCGUGGGGAGCAAACAGGAUUAGAUUCCCUGGUAGUCCACGCUGUAAACGAUGAAUGUUAAAUAUGGGGAGUUUACUUUCUGUAUUACAGCUAACGCGCUAAACAUUCCGCCUGGGGACUACGGUCGCAAGAUUAAAACUCAAAGGAAUUGACGGGGACCCGCACAAGCGGUGGAGCAUGUGGUUUAAUUCGAUGCAACGCGAAAAACCUUACCACUCCUUGACAUGGAAAUUAUACCUAUUCGAAGGGAUAGG
rnacentral:rRNA from 1 species